rnacentral:lncRNA from 1 species
CAAUUUAAGGUUUAAAUCACUAGAAACCAAGUUCCUUAGAUUAUCAAACAAGAUGUGAAAUUCCAGCAACCCUUUCUUACAUUUCUCUUCGAGAUUUAUCAAGUUUAUCAGCUCAAAACAAGGGAAAUAUAUAUGUACACCAAAAUUAAUGUCUUGUGAGGUGUCUAAGCUAAGAUUAAACCAUUUUCAACCCAAAAUUUAAAGAUUAAGGCUAGUGAACUUUUCAUUUAUUCCCUCUAGGCUAAACCAGAUUCCAGUCAGCUUGUUGUUUAAAUUUUCUCAAAUUUCACCUGCUUUUCAAGUCUUAAAAUCAAUAAAAUGUACAUGAGAGACAAGCAAAAGGUGAUAUAAUAUGUUUUACACGAGAUUACAGCCAAUUAUCAUUGAAUUUUCGGAAAUAACAUGAGAGUUUCAGCCUUCACUCUCUCGGCCAGCAAAAUAGAUUUUUCAGCAAAGUUACUACAAAAUUUUCAACAAAAUUUCCAACUUUUGCUCGUUUAAAACACCAAACACACAACAUACAUUCUAUCCAACAUACAAUAAAGCAAGUGACAUGUAAUUUCAGCAAAUAAUUCCACCAAGAAACCACAAAUAAAUCUAUCACCGGCUAAACAAAAUUUUCAGCAAUUUACCAAGACAUAUUACAUGCUUUCUAUGCAAAGGAAUCCAGCAAAAUUCUCAAGUAUCAAGCCAUCUUUCACAGGUUCAAGGAAACUGAAAAUUUAGUAAGAAACACGAAAUUUCUCUUCACAAACCCCAUUCUUUUCUGCCCAAACUCAACAUGCAUCCCGAGAGCUUGAACGUAGCAGAAGAAGGAAGAGUUUUAAGACCAUUUUUACCUCUUGAUUUUCACAAAACAAAGCUGAAAUGAAGCAAAAUCUUCCUUCUCACCCUCGGUUCCCUUUCCCUCGGUUUCAAGGAUGCAAUAGAGCAAAGUUCCCUUAGCCUUUUCUUUCUUCCUAUCGACUUCAAGACAAUGGAAACGGAGCAAGUUUUCUCAAGCAUCUCUCAAUUUUUUUUUUCUCUUGGAUUAAAACUUUGGAAAUUGGAAGGAAUUCUCUAAACUCUCAAACUCUCUGUGACGCCCCCACUUCUCCCAAGGGCGAACCCAAGGGUAUCGGCGGGAUGCCUGCCCAACGCUUGCCAGGACUCGAUACGAUCCAUAAUUCAAAACUAUAAAUACUUCAAAUACUUCAAUUACAUAAUUAAAGUACUCCAAAACAUUUCACACUUACAAUCAGAUAGCCCUCAAGCUUAAUACAAUCCAAAAGAAUAUGUACUACAACCAUCCGUUAUAAUACAACUUAAGAUCUUCAAAAAAAAGCAAUCUAGUACUAUUCACGGGCACUCUUGGUCUCGGACCCUGUAAAAGAAAUCCACGACGUGGUAUGAGCUACACAACCCAGUGAGAUUCCAAAACACUUUAGCAGUUCUAAUAAAUCAAGUAAAGAGAGCAUACCACAUGUAUGGUUCGGGGUUGCACAUUGGUACAUGAACAUGAGACAAAUAUCAGUAUACGAAUACUUUGAACAUAUCACAGGUAUGACUCAAGAUUUGCACGUUGGCACAUUUGCAUAAAAUGGUUAUUACUAUGCAAAGUUAAACACAUAUUGAAGGAUACGGUGUUCCAGUGGAACCAUUUCGGUUAUCUGCACUUUAUGACUUCCGGAUCCCCUCGAUUUGUCUGGCCAUCACCUUAUCCCUCCAGUGGUAAUACUCGAGUAUACCGAAACGGUGGCUCAGGGUUCCAACCUACCUGAUCGAGCCCAGUCCUGGAUCGAGUAGGUCAGUAACCAAGGGCAGGACCCAAGUUCAGCUUAGAGCUUACAACUUGCACACGUAAUCACGUAAACCGAUGAACGGUAAAAAUCUAUCAUUUUGGGUAGGCCGAGUGAGAUAAAAUACACACUCACCCUAAAAUGAUGGACAAUUCCAUAUGAGUAAUUAUAGGUAACACUUAACAUCCAAACCCGUAAGAAAUAUGCCAUAAUUUCAUAUGAACACGGAAUUCAUGGUAAUCAAAUAACCAAGUAGUCAAGUAAAUCUGUAAACAGUAGUAAUCAAAUAAAUCGGUAUACGGUAGGUAUUUAUGAUUAACGGUAAACGGUAAUCGGUAAUUGGUAAUCGGUAGACAUUUGUCAUUUUAAUAGGCCGCUAUUGACCAUUUCUCAUAUUUAUCACUUAAGAGUUGAGGAGAUUCACUCCAACCUACUUAUGCAACCAUAGCAUAAUUGAUCAUUUAAACACUUCACGUAAAUAUGCAAUUCACAUAUUCCAUGUCGAGUAAUUCAAGUAUACGUAUUUCAAGUAUUUCAUGUCGAGUAAUUCAAGUAGUCACAUAAAUAUGCUUUUCAAGCAUUUCAUAGCAAGUAAUUCAAGUAUAUGCUACUUACAUAUGCGUAAGUGUGAUAAAUAUUUAACAUGUAGCACUUAACACUUAACACGUGAUGACCACAGAAUGACCAUGUCAUAGACUUAUGCAAAUUACGUAUUCCUAUAUGGAACACUCACCUAUUGCAACAAGAGAGUAACUACUCAAACAGGUGUCUAGGCGUCCGCUUCGAGUUCCUCUUGAAGGUCCCCUUGAGUGCCUGAACAAAUAACAAUCAACUAUUACACACUAUCGCUUAAAACCCUCUACUUAUUGAGAAAGAUUGUACCCAUGUACAAUCCAAGAAUAUUUCACGAGUACGAGUCCUAAUCACAUGCAAAUCGAGGCUCAAAAGUGGGGUUUCAAAGCAUAAGAGAAAUCGGGUUUUUAUAUUUGAAAUCAUGUGCAAAAGAUUUAAGUGAUAUCGAAGGAAAAAGGAGAAUUCGAAAAACUCUAUUUCCUUAAGUUUCGGAAAUUUCUGAUUGGAUACGAGAUUUUUGGAAAAUCAUAUCUCACUCUCUACAAGUCCAAAAUUGGAAAACUUUUUACCGUUGGAAACUACUUCCAAAGUACUAAAAGUUCUUAGAAUACACUUUUCCAUGAAUCUAAGUGGAAGGUAUUCAAAAAUGGGCUUAAAGUUACUAUUUCAGGUUACUUAGAGUUAUGCCGGGGUUGGUUUUUCGCUAACUUUGGAAAUUCGGUAAAAUUCAUACGUUGCAAACCAGCCUCCUAAAUUUCUAAAUCAAUUAGAGUUACAAGUAAGGUUUAGGACAGAACAAGAGGAUCAAGAAUCAGAGUUUUGAGCACCGAGAUAUGGUCGCUCAAAGUUGGAGGAAAAAAAACGAAACUGUUAAGCUAGUUUCCAGAUUUGAGUUCCAAACUUUGGGACUUUAAUUUGGUAGCGAAAUGGACUCGGAACGACACCAAAUUUGGUAUGAUUACACUACCAUAUAAGAGCUAUUCUUAUGUCAAAUUUCAUAGGAAAAUUUAUUCGGCAAGUUGGUUAACAAAACCAUCAAAGUUUCAAGAAUUUCUAAGGCAAAUCUGCCUUGUACUUCAAAUUUUCUUUUCUAAAACCUUUGGCCAAUAAAAUGCCUAAAACAUGUCUCAUUUGUGAUAACCAGGUCUAAUAAGAAUCCAAGAUACAUUCGGUAGGUGAUUAACACCAAGAAUUUCAAAACAACAAGUCCCAACCAAGGGUUAGGCCUUUACGAGCCAAAAGAGGAUUUUUACUCACUGCAUCAGUUUCGAAAUAUGGACACAACUCACUCAAUUCAACUCGGAAUUGAGCAUGGUUGAUGGCGUUGAAAAGAUAUUUCAUAAAUAUAGAAUUUUUCAGAAGAAACCAUUUCCAAAAUCUAUUCACAAGCAACUCGUUUUUGAGAAUAAAGUUACAGUUCAUGUCCUGCCUCCUGAAGAGCAACGAAACAGGACAGCAAUUUUCAAACGCAUGGUUUAGCUCACUCGAGUGGAACUAGGUCAUGAAUUUUAUACCAAUGGAAAGCUGGGAAUGUCUAGUUUCCAGUGCCACAAACGGCACUUGAUUUUGACAUCAGAGCAAAGAGUUAUGGCCAAUACCAAAUGACUGCCUGGGCAAUGCGGGAUUCAUUUUCCAGUUUUGCUAACUUUGGAAAUCAACUCAUUUGACCAACCAAAUCAUGUUAUUUUUCAAUGAAAUUUUUUUACACACUCAUAAUAACAUGUAAACAACAUAAUCAAGUCAUUAGAACCUCAAAAUUUAGCACAAAAGUGCCUGAAUAAGGCAGGGAUAAAACGGUCACUUUUGCUCCAAGCACCUCCUUUGAUUUUCUACCAACAAUACAACAUUAAUCCACUAAUAUAAGCACUAAACCACCAUUAAUUUCAUCAUCCAACAUCAAAUCAGUCCAUCCAUCAAAUGUGGGAGUUCAUAGAGCCCACACAACACAAAUCCACCAUAAACAAGACUACCCACAUGCAUGCAAGAGUUUAUACGUGUAAUACUACUUCCAUAAACCAAGAUUUUCAAGGUUGAUCGUUACCUACUUGUUUAGAUGUAGCAAGGCAGAAUUUUGAUCCCUUCUUUGCCCAAGAAAACCGUGGAUUGAAGCUCCUUUUCUUAGUUAGAUGUAAUCUCCAAGUGUUAAGCUAGGUGUAGUUAAAAUUUGGUAUGAUUUGGUGAAGGUUUUUGCAAGAUUUGGAGAUGAAAAUUUGAGAAACUUUGAGUUGUUUUUGCAGGUGAUGGUUCAGCCAAAGUGAGAGGGAAAGAGAGAGAGUGUGAUGCUGAAAUAAAGCUCCUAAAGUAAGCUUAAAUGUGUGGUCACAAUUCACCCAAAAGUCAACUCUCUCUUGCACAUGUAUGCGCGCGUUUUGGACUCGAUUUCUCUCGAGUUUAUUUCACUAGUGCACUAAACCUUCAAUACACUUAUAUCAAUAUUAUUAUUAUUUACUCUUAGUUGUCCCAAAAUAAGGGUCUAAAGUUCCUCAAUUAAAUCGCGCGCGUAAAAACGCGUACUUCCAAUUUAUGCGCAAUAAGGCGAAAUUUCUAAGAAAUUCUUAUAACGAUAUUACUAAUAAUUAUCAUUUGAGUACUUAAACAUAAAAUUACCUAUUUUUGGAUCAUUAUACAAGUCUCCAAUUUUUCAAAUUUAUUGUGCUAUCAAACGGUUAAAAUUUCCAAACGCAUUUCCACUUUUUCACUAAACGAGCUUCCAAAAAUUAAUUUUUGAAACAAGUCACUUUUAAAAUAUAACAAAGUUAUAGAUCCAUGUAAUUAGGUCUAAGGAGGUUAGAAAAUAAUAUUCGGAGAAAAUGGGUAAGCAAAUAAUUAAUUAAGCCAUAAAAAUUGAAUUAUAAGUGAUAAAAAUUCGGGUCCUCACAACCUCCCCUCCUUAAAAGAAUUUCGUCCUCGAAAUUCAUACUUUCUGUAAUCUCAGAUAACCCUGAACCUUGUUGUGUGAUCAUUUCAUGCGUUCUUGCGGAUGCCACUGGUCGGUUUUCUCCCCCAUUGAUUUGUCGAGAGAUAGUUCCAUUUUCUUGUUGAGUAGUAAUUCCUCGGGGAUACCUCCUUAGACAGUCGUGAACUUUAUGGUUGGUGCUCCCACAUCCCAUACAUUUUUGCCCCUUUAGCCAGCAAUUUUCUUCAAUAUGAUUCGUCCUUUCACAAUAUCCAUAAGUCGGACGAGACACUGUGACCUGACUUGCUUGUGAGAUCCUCUUUGACUGCAUUUGUCCUACUAGAGCUCUUCGUGACGUAGUCCCUUUUGGUUCCUUUAUCAUGAGUGGUGCAGGAAGUGAUAGUCCUACUCCAUCCACUCCUUUUCUUACUUUGGGUGGUGGUUCAAUUUCUCUUAGUCUAUUAUCAGAUAUAUCCCUUUUCCUCGCUUGAAAGUCUCUCAGUUGGGAUUUGGUGUUUUCCACCCUUUGCGCUUUCUCAAGAGCGUCACUAAAUGUUUCAAUCUGUGCCGCGGCAAGGGCAUCUUGGAUUUCUAAAUUUAAUCCUUGGAUAAACCGUCUUAUUCUCUUCCGUUCCGUAGCCACCAAUGCUGGAGCAUAUGUAGAUAAUUUCGUGAAACGUGUUUCGUACUCAGCCACACUUAAAGUUCCUUGACGAAGUUUUAUAAAAUCGUCUUCUCUCUUUUCUUGGACAAGCGAAGGAAGAAAUUUCUCAUUAAACUCUCUUACAAAGUUUAUCCAAGUCUUUGGAGUUUGAUCGCUUUCCCACUUAUUUCUUAUAACAGAUCUAGCUAUUAGAAUACUGCCGAUCAUUAUUUAAUUUCAAUUUAAGACACUAAAAUUGGAAUACUUUUCAUUUGAUUUCGAAAACUUUUGAUAAGAACUCAUAAGUCAAGUUUAAUUCAAAUUAAUUAUUUUGACUGACUGUUUUUACGUAAAUUAUAAGUAGAAAGGCCGUAGGAACUAGAAUGAAUAGUGCAGUAGCAAUAAAUGCAAGAAUAUUUACUUCCAUAAUCUAAUCUUUUUUUUUCUUUCGCAAUAACUCGGGAUUUAAUCCCAUAGAGAUGUUAAACCUUUCGCCUGUAAAUUCAAUGAAUGAAUUACCUCUCGAUGGUUUUGAAUCGGAUCAAUAUCAUGAAUAACAAUAUCUGAGCUAUCAAAUAAAUUCGUCGUCA